AACGAGGCUGCUUGCAGUCGAAGUGAGUGAUACCCUGCUUCCAGGAAAAGCCACUAAGCUUCAGCUACACACGACCGUACCGCAAACCGACACUGGUGCGCGAGAUGAGUAUUCUAAGGCGCUUGAGAGAACUCAGGAGAAGGAACUCGGCAAAUUGACACCGUAACUUCGGAAGAAGGUGUGCCUUUAGUAGGUGAACCUGUACAAGGGGAGCCCAAUGAGGUUGCAAAAAAUCGGUGGCUGCGACUGUUUAAUAAAAACACAGCACUCUGCAAACACGAAAGUGGACGUAUAGGGUGUGACGCCUGCCCGGUGCUGGAAGAUUAAAUGAUGGGGUGCAAGCUCUUGAUUGAAGUCCCAGUAAACGGCGGCCGUAACUAUAACGGUCCUAAGGUAGCGAAAUUCCUUGUCGGGUAAGUUCCGACCUGCACGAAUGGCGUAACGAUGGCCACACUGUCUCCUCCUGAGACUCAGCGAGUUGAAAUGUUUGUGAUGAUGCAAUCUCCCCGCGGAAAGACGGAAAGACCCCAUGAACCUUUACUGUAGCUUUGUAUUGGACUUUGAACAGAUCUGUGUAGGAUAGGUGGGAGGCUUUGAAGUGUGGUCGCUAGAUCGCAUGGAGCCAACGUUGAAAUACCACCCUGGUGUGUUUGAGGUUCUAACCUAGGCCCGUAAUCCGGGUCGGGGACAGUGCAUGGUAGGCAGUUUGACUGGGGCGGUCUCCUCCCAAAGCGUAACGGAGGAGUUCGAAGGUACGCUAGGUACGGUCGGACAUCGUGCUAAUAGUGCAAUGGCAUAAGCGUGCUUAACUGCGAGACUGACAAGUCGAGCAGAUGCGAAAGCAGGACAUAGUGAUCCGGUGGUUCUGUAUGGAAGGGCCAUCGCUCAACGGAUAAAAGGUACUCUGGGGAUAACAGGCUGAUACCGCCCAAGAGUUCAUAUCGACGGCGGUGUUUGGCACCUCGAUGUCGGCUCAUCUCAUCCUGGGGCUGUAGCCGGUCCCAAGGGUAUGGCUGUUCGCCAUUUAAAGAGGUACGUGAGCUGGGUUUAAAACGUCGUGAGACAGUUUGGUCCCUAUCUUCCGUGGGCGCUGCAGAUUUGAGGAAGCCUGCUCCUAGUACGAGAGGACCGGAGUGGACACACCUCUGGUGUAUCGGUUGUCACGCCAGUGGCAUUGCCGAGUAGCUAUGUGUGGAAGAGAUAACCGCUGAAAGCAUCUAAGCGGGAAACUCGUUUCAAGAUGAGAUCUGCCGGGGCCUUGAGCCCCCUAAAGAGUCGUUCAAGACCAGGACGUUGAUAGGUCGGGUGUGGAAGCGCAGUAAUGCGUUAAGCUAACCGAUACUAAUUGCUCGUGCGGCUUGAUCA
rnacentral:rRNA from 1 species